UACGUAGGGUGCGAGCGUUAAUCGGAAUUACUGGGCGUAAAGCGUGCGCAGGCGGUUCGUUGUGUCCGAUGUGAAAGCCCCGGGCUUAACCUGGGAAUGGCAUUGGAAACUGGCGGGCUUGAGUGCGGCAGAGGGGGGUGGAAUUCCGCGUGUAGCAGUGAAAUGCGUAGAGAUGCGGAGGAACACCGAUGGCGAAGGCAGCCCCCUGGGUCGACACUGACGCUGAGGAGCGAAAGCGUGGGGAGCGAACAGG
rnacentral:rRNA from 1 species